AUGCUCACUCUAACCGCAGCGACAAGGAGUUUAUUUGCUAAACCUCAGAGAGAAUCUGCUGUCGCAGAGCUGCAACUUGAGAUCUACUUGAUCGACACUUUCUUAUGCGAUAAUAUUGGCCCACUGGUAUCUGACGCAGUCGACCGUGGUCUGCUGAAAGAUUUAGACCUUGCCAUUCUCGACGAGAAGGGAACUUCUGGACGUUCUCCGUCAGAUGAGAUAAAGCGUGCUCAGGAUAUUGAUGGAUUUUUCUGUGCCUACCCUAGUGUCCUCCAUUGUCUCACGAGCCUCUCUCUCUAUGGUGUGAGUUUUCUCCAAUUGGACAUCCAUCAUAUCCUGUUUGACUGCUGUAACCAGCUGAAGCAUUUAUAUCUCUAUUCUUGUGAUGUUGGUCCUUUGUGGAAGAUAGAUGCACCAAAUUCAAAACUUCGUGUUCUGGUGCUCUACAUGUGUUGCUUCGAGGGAAUUGAGUUGAUAUCCCUUCCAAAACUGGAGAAACUCAGUGUGCUUGGUUGGGUAUCUCACUCUGUCCCCUUGUCUUUUGGUUUUGUCCCAUCCCUUGAGGAAUUGGACCUAGCACAAAUUCUGCUCCGUCGUCAGCAUUUAUAUAAAUUAAGUGACUUUCUCCAUGGAGCCACAGGCAUACACACUCUCACAUUGGAUUCCAAAGGAAGCGCGAUUUGGCUACAACCUGAAAUAAAACAACUCACCUCCGCAUUCAGAAAGCUAAGGAAGCUGCUCAUACUAGGUGUUUUUGUUGAAUUUGACCUUCUAUGGACUACAACUUUUCUUGAGGCUGCUCCUUCCAUUGAAAUGUUGCAUAUUGAGGUAUGUGAGCAUGCGUGCGAGUUGGGUGACGAGAACGACGAAUCUGGGAUAUUCGCUGAAAGAAUUAAUCCUCUGUGGGAGCUAGACUUCCAUGCCUCGAAGAACAUGCUAUUGAGAGAGCUCCACAUCGCCCACUUUAGGCCCCUAGAGCAGCAGCUGACAUUUAUUAGAGCAAUCCUGGAGCGAGCUCCCAAUCUUCAAACUGUGAUGCUAAACAAAGAUGGCGAGAUAUGCAACGAAUGUGAUGCCAUGGCCCUCGAUGUGCCACCCAGUGCAUCAGCUCGGCCUGCAUUUCCGAGGACCAACGAGGAGCAAGACUCGGUGGUCAGGUGGGUCAUAGAUGGCACCUUCUUCUCAGGUCAGAUAUAUUUUCGGUGA
rnacentral:rRNA from 1 species